GGCAAACGGGUGAGUAACGCGUGGGAAAUCUACCCCUUACACGGGAAUAACCUGCCGAAAGGUGGGCUAAUACCCGAUGGUCUCGCUAUUUGGAAGAUUAGCGAGUAAAGCUUUUGCGGUAAGGGAUGAGCCCGCGUCCUAUCAGCUUGUUGGUGAGGUAAUGGCUCACCAAGGCAGUGACGGGUAGCUGGUCUUAGCGGAUGGUCAGCCACACUGGGACUGCGACAC
rnacentral:rRNA from 1 species